ensembl:lncRNA prothymosin alpha b
CCGUCCUUUAUUUUAUUCAGCCCAAACAAUGGCAGACACACAAGUGGACUCCGGCUCGGACAUCUCUGCCAAGGACCUGAAGGAGAAGAAGCUGGUGGAGGAGAAGGAGAACGGCAAAGAUGCUGCCACCAACGGAAAGGAGAACGAGGAGAACGGGGAGCCCGAGAUAGAUGACGACGACGACGUGGACGAGGAGGAAGAGGAGGAGGAAGAUGAUGAUGGAGCCGAAGAGGAAGAUGAGGAGGAAGACGAAGAGGAGACCGAGGGAGGCACAAAACGGGGACCGGACGACGAGGAAGAUGACGAGGAAGUCACUGCCAAGAAGCCGAAAACCGACGACGAUUGAUGCGUUUUCCCCCCGCACCGUCCUGCUGAACCACUUCCUGAUUCUUCACCUCUGACCGUUUUUCUGAGUCACAGGUGGAGGGGCUGGAGGACUGAUCUAAAGGAAAAAAAUAAUAAAAAAAUCCAACAUGGUCAUUAGCAAGUAGAGUUCAACAAACACCCACCACGGCCACACUCUCGAUCUCCCCUCAAAGCUGCAAAACAAAUUUUCUAGAGGAACCCGCCACGACAUCGACGCAGAAAUCCGGCUUCUCUUCAACAACACGAAAGGAGAAUUUGUUUGUAUUUUUAUUUACAUUUUAUAUUUUUGUACAUAUUGUUAGGAGGGGGUCCGAUUCUCUCUUGGCAGCGAUCUCGUCAGACCAAAUCGGUGCUUCUUUAACAAAAGAUUUUACUUGGUUGACCAUGUUACGAUAUCUCAACAGAUACUAGAAAAACCUGUAAAAAAGUUAAAAAAAAAUGAAAGAACCUCUUAAGCCGUUGAACUCAGAGCAUUCCAGUAAAUUUAAUGUAUGUACUUUAGCUGUACCAUAACUAGUUUGUUUGUAUGGGAGGGUAAGGCCAAAGAAAAGAGCCUCUUUUCUUUUUCUUUUAUUUUGUUUUUGUCAGCGACUUUUUGUUUUAUGACGGCCUGUUUUGAUGUAUGUGCGAAGUUUGUUGUUUGACAAUAAACCGGACUUUUAUUUUGUGAGUUGUACUUUGUUUCCCAGCUCGUUAUGUUUUUGGUUUCUUUUAAUGUGGCGGUCCAGCUUCGGCACAGGGGUCAGAGGUCGGCAGCUGCAGUACUUCAGGUGAAAGUAUCCACGUGCACAUUUACUCACAGCUGCUGAGUCCAGAACACAAGCACUUAACAUGUCGCAGAUUAAAUGAACGGUCCCCAACCUGUGGGCCGGGGCCCCAUGCAGGCUCACAAGAUUUCCUGUUGAGUACACAAGGUAUUUAGGCUAAUAAGUACAUUUACUCAGGUAUUACUGUUACACCCCCCCCCCAGCAGUACAGACCUUUAUUCCAUAUUAAACACAAGAUGCAGCGGUUCUGAAUCUGAAGGUCCAGAAAAACAAAGUCUGAGAUCAAUGAGAGGAGGAGGUGAAGGUUUUAAAGCUCCUCAGUGUCGUAAGCCAGAGAAUCAAACAGUAAUCAAUAAUCAAUUCACAUUAUUUCUAAUAACAUACCAGUGCUGAGGACGAUACCUUUGUACUGCACAGUGAGUACUUUUACUUCAGUUUUACUGUUUAUG